GGCAUCAAAUUAAUUACUAUAAUUAAAGUCACGUGUUUGUUACGUUUGCUUAAUACUCGGUCGCCUUAUCGAGUUAACAUGUGAGAGAUAAUUUCGCGAUUCGAACGAUUAUGAAGCGGUCAAAGAGUAUAAUCCGCCGGCGGGGAUUUACAUCGUGUCGCGCCAUCCAGUGGAUCGCAAACAGCGUCCUGCUUGUUCGCGGUGUGUGCGCGAACGAGACGACGAGAGAAUACACAUCCGAUAUACACUCGUACACCUAUACAUCCGACAUAUGUGUAUGUAUAUGUGUCGAAUUCGAGCGGAGCGGUAAUCCGCGUUAAAUUAAUUCGACACCUUCGAAACGGCGAUUGCGGAACAAAUGAAGUCCACGAUAAAACCGAUUAUCCGUCUGGAAUUUCCCGCCGCCGCGCCGUCGUCGUCGCCGCAAAGUACGCGAGACGAGUUUCUGGCGAAAUUACGCGCGCCGCAGGUGAUUGUCUCCGUUUCGAUCUGCCGGCUUCCCCGACAGUUUGCCAGGGGGGGCCGACGGCGGAUUCGUGGGAAGGGAGGAGGCAAGGGGGCUCGGUGUAACGCGGCACCAGAUAAUCUGCCAAGGGACCGCCGCCGAAUCUCCGGGUGGGCCUUGCUAAACAAAGCGAUCGAGAUAGAGAGAGCGAACGAGAAGCGCAAGGGAGGAGAGAGACAGUUGCUCGUUUUCGGCUAACGAGAUAUACCGUGAGGAGGAAUAUGAACGGCGGUGCAAACCGCGCUAGAUUUGAUUUAUAUCGAUUUACGGUGGCGAUUACGUCGGUAAAGGCUCAAAAUUUGGGAGAUAAUCCAGUGGAAAUUCUUGUUAAUUUAAAUUAUGAGAAACAGCUGGUUUAGUUCAUCAUUGAUUUGGUAGGGCAUUAUAAUCCACAAGUGCAUCAUUAAACGGUCUCUCGGAAAAAGAAGUAUAAGUGACAGUGCAGUAAACCUACUUGCCGCCCAAUCGAGCGACAUCGUGCCAUUACGAGCUAGCAUCGUUGUUUCGAUAACCAGGCAGAGAAUAGCGGCGUGCAAGCCAAUCGGGAGAGCCGAAGCGGCGAGCGUUACGACAUGGAUUUCCCGAAAUUAAAUUGGACCGGCUAGAUUGCACGCAAGCAGAAUGUCCUCCUGAAACUGCGCGGAGCGGCGCGGCGCGCCGCGCGCCGAGCCGAAGCCGGUGGCGGGCGGCCAACCAAAUCCGGACCGUCGCGUUUAUGUCUCAAUUAAGCCGGAUGCCCGCGGUAUUAAUCUGGAGAAGGGAACGGCAGAGAGCGUAGCGAGGAAUCGAUCGAUCGCGUUGAUUGAAACGGCUGCCUCCGAUCUUAAUACGGGGUUACCAUUGUUGACGCAAACACACGCGUUUGUGUAAUGUAAUAUAGCUAAUCUGCCGCGCGGGUUCGCGCGAUAUAUGGUAUAUCGUUCCACGGGUACGGUGCCGAUGUGACAUUACGAUAGCAGAAUAAUACCGACGAUCUGUUCCGCGCGCGCGUUGUGGUGUUCUUAUCUCUAUUGAGUUUGACAGAGUCGUAAAUUUGGAAGAAACCCCUAUUGAUUAUCGGUGAAAAGUUUUAAGCGUUCGUGAUUUACACUAAGAAACGCAGUAUUUCAAGUAUCUUCGAAACUAUUGUAAAUAUUUACGAUAUUUUUAUGAUGAUGAUAUCACGUUAUAUUAUGAUACAAGCUUAAUAAGACAUCAAAAAGGAAUAAAAACAAAUUCGGUGUCUUCUUUUAUCUCACUAAUAAUCACCCUAUUUUGUUACUGUUUACUAGUUCAUUUUUUAUUAUUGCGAAUGUACCUAUAUUUUAUUUCUUUUUCUGUUACUCGAUAAUGUAAAAUCGGUGCAAUCAAACUCGUAAAUAUCCACAAAUCUUCCGUGUAACUACGUAAUAAAAUGGUGCGAAAUGUGUCCAUACUGGGCAUCCUCGUAAAAUCCGGCUCGCUUUUCGGUUACCGCUGUCAGCUGCAGCAUCGUCUUUAUCGGGCCCACGGAGGGGGGCCUUUCUCAGGCUUUUCGAUCGAAUCGUUCGAUCGACGACAAAAGGUGUCCAGUAUAUUGUACGCGAUUGCAUAGCACGUGGUGGCUGCAGCGGCGCGCAACGAAAAUUAGGAGAAGGAGAGGAAGAGGAAAAGUCUGAGGAGAACGACGCGCAGGAGAGGAAAGAAGGGAGAACCGAAGAGGCUGUCGCGUUGCGGCGAGUUGCAACGAGUUGCACAAAAGGAAGCGAUCGCACGUCAUACUUAACGAGGCCUGCUGUGCCUCCUCUGUCCCCCCCCAUCUCUCUUCGGACCCUCAUCUCUUUCUCUCUCUCUCUCUCUCUCUCUCUUUCUCUCUGUCACGAGAUUGCCCUCUUCCUUCCCUUCCUUCCCUAUGUCCGCGUUCGGCGUGCCUCCGCUUUAUUCUCUCCCCCGCCCGGGCGCUCGUAAGCUCGAAUCUCUGUUUAUCUUUAUCUCUUUUGGUUUGGUUUGUCGGCUCGCGGCUCGGCACCGUGAUUACAGAGUACCCGCCACUCACCUCGGGAACUCUGGUGGUCCUCUCUCCGCCGCUCGCUCAUCUCCUACUACCUCCUUCCCCUUGAAACGCGCCGGGGACCCACGCGGGAUGACGACGGACGGUGUGCGGCCAGGAGCAAGUGGGACCAACCUACCAUCGCCUCCCGCAGCUCCUCGUCCUUCGUUAUCCUCCUCCUUCACCUUCUCCUUCUUCCUAUGCCGUUCUUCCUCGUUACUUUAUCCCCUCUCGCCCUCUCACGUCCUCUUUCUCUUUCAUCUUAUCUCUUCGCCGUCUUGUUCCUGCUCUAACUCAUCAACGAGCCUCCUCUCUUUCUCUCUCUUUUCUAUCCUUUAUCCACUCGUUUCGUCUCAUUUUACCUAUUCCGCCUAUCCUCUGCUAAUCUUGUUCUCCCUUCUUCUUCAGUCCUUCUCUCUCUUUUCAAGUCCCGUUUCACUUCUUCACUCUUUUCCUGUCUUCCUCCCUCUUUCGACUUCACUUCCUUGCUCUUCCCUUCUCGUGAACUAACUACCUGUGUCUUAUUAGCGAUACAGUCGACGCGAAAAGGUAGUUUGACUUGAGUAAGUGAUGUGUUAAUCAGAUGAUUCUGAAAGCUAAACCGCGACGCGCCGACCUUCUACAUAUGCGACGAUUUUGCGCGUCUGAUUUAUGUAAUAUAAAUUAUACGCACAAUAAAUGCAUGUGCUACGUGCUGCAUAUGUUAAUUAUUAGCGUUAUUUAUACAGAAAAAUAUAUGGAAAUAUUUCAAGAAUUCUAGCCAAAAAGGAAAGAAUAAAAAAAA